UCGUGGCGGGCGGCUAACGGGUUGGGGUUGGCGACCACGGCGGCCACAGCGCGGCUGCGCGGGGCGGCUUCCGCCGUUCGGGAGCCCGAGUCCAGGCCUGUCGGGACCCGCUGGGCCGCGCAGCCGUGGUUGCCCUGACCUGACCGCUCCCUGCGUCCUGGGCACCGAGGGAAGACGGCCCUCGAGUGUCCCGGGCUGGCGGGGACGCGGGACGCCCGACUUCCAGGGCCUUCUGGUGACAGCGUGAGGACUAUGUAAACUGAGUCUCUUCUCCCACCCCCCACACAUACCUCUUUCUUCCCUCUAUUUCCCCUGCCCCGGUUUUCGUAUUAAAAAGACAAAACAAACGGGAAGAUGGAGCUUCUACAACUCCUAAGAUAAAAUUGACGUCGAUAUAUAGUUAUCUCUUCAUUUUAAUAGAAUACUUACUAACCACGUGUUUUCUCUUGCAGUUCAGUCCUGAGGCCUUUUGAGCACCAGCGUUCAGAACUGGGAGUUUUCUAAUACAGCAGAUUCUACUUUUGUUCUCUAUAACGCGGUCAGGUACACAGAAUAACCCUUGGAAAAUAAGAUGGGACUCAUCCCCCUUGACCCAAGUAAGGCCUUAAUAAUAAAGAGAAUGUUUUCCCUGGUGCAUAAAACAGAAACAAAGCAUUAAUCACAUAACAAAAGCAUAUGGUUUCCUUACAUGCGACACCAAAACUGGUCAGAUUUUAUUUAGCCACACACAAAGACAGACACUAGUCUGUCUCCGUGUUUUCAUGAAACGUUUUUGUUACUGUUUUAGGUGUCUGAUGUGACAAUAAAAGUCUCUGCUGUUACAGGGAAGAGAGAUGACAGAAUAAGACUUGUAGAACAUAAUGGGUUGGAUCGUGAGCGCUGAGGUAAGCAUAAAAAAGUAAGAUCUCACAGUUUUGGAAAACGUGACAGAGUAACACAGCUCGUGAGAAGCUGAUGUUGGAAUUAACUUGCCAGGCAGCUAUCUGGAGUGAGACUUCCUGGGAGAACAGCAAAUGCAAAGUUUUUGCACGUAGUCACGUCUCCCGGCCAACCAUAGGAACAGUAAGAGGGCCCAUGUAGCUGGGGCAGAGGGAAAUGAAGUCCCACAGUAAGCGGCCAUGCCCCUAGGCCUUUGGAGUAGAGGAGUGAUGUGUUUAAUAUUUUAGUGCAAUCAUCUGGAUGCCGUGUCGAGUAGACAGAAUGGAAAUAGAGUUUCAAAAGCAAGGAGGAGAAUCAAAACUAUUGCUAGCAUGCAUCUGGAUAAAGCAGCAGGAAAGCAGUAACAGUAUUUUGUCUAGAAUACAUCUUAGAGACAAAACAGGCUUUCCUGACACGUUGAUUAUGGAAUAAGAGUAAGGAAUAAAGGAUUUCUCCUUGUGUAAACCUUAGUGAGCCAAAUGGAGUUGAGUCGAGCAGACUGUUCUCUGAAAGGAAGGAAUGCAGUUGGGUGUUCCUGUGCGUCAGGAGGGUGUGUUCCAGAAUCAACAGUCUAUUGGCUGCAGUAGCAGUGCAUAGUAAAUAGAUGAGCUUUGAACCCAGAUCCCGAAAUCCACAGGCUUCGAAUUCACAUCAGUGUUAGAAAAAUACCCAGAUCCCUGGGAAUGCUCUUGAAGCAACUAGGAUUGGCAGUUCCAGUUCUUCAGACAGAGCUGCUGAUAACGCUAGUACUAUGUUCCCUAACAGAGGCAUUUUCCCAUCGGAAUUGAAUUCUUGGUAGAAAAAUGGCAGUUGGGGAACUGUAUCUUAUUAGCAACCAUUUGGUUUAGGACUAAAAUGUUGGAUUAGAAAAUGAAACAAUUUAACUAUUUGAUUUGUAAAAGUUUGUAAUGUUUUUAGCUUAACACUUUGUGCCACAUAUGAAAAGGCAAAAUAUAUAUUUUAUAGGAAAAUAGGUAUAUAGAUUGUUCUUUUACAAAGUUUUUACUGUUUUCAUGAAGAUUUACUAAAGUAUUAAAUGUGAAUGUUCUAGAAAAUAAAACUUACAUUACAACUUGUUGCUCUCAA